rnacentral:lncRNA from 1 species
UUUCAUUCUUCUGCAUGUGGAUGUCCAAUUUUCCCCAGCACCAUUUAUUGAAGAGACUGUCUUUCUUCCAAUGGAGAGUCUUUCCUCCUUUAUCGAAUAUUAGUUCCCAUAAAGUUCAGGGUCCACUUCUGGAUUCUCUAUUCUGUUCCACUGAUCUAUGUGUCUGUUUUUGUGCCAGUACCACACUGUCUUGAUGACCACAGCUUUGUAGUACAACCUGAAAUCUGGCAUUGUGAUGCCCCCAGAUAUGGUUUUCUUUUUUAAAUUCCCCUGGCUAUUCGGGGUCUUUUCUGAUCCACACAAAUCUUAAAAUAAUUUGUUCUAACUCUCUGAAGAAAGUCCAUGGUAUUUUGAUAGGGAUUGCAUUAAACGUGUAUAUUGCCCUGGGUAACAUGACAUUUCACAAUAUUAAUUCUGCCAAUCCAUGAGCAUGGAAUAUUUUUCCAUCUCUUUGUGUCUUUCUCAAUUUCUUUCAGAAGUGUUCUAUAGUUUUUAGGGUAUAGAUCCUUUACCUCUUUGGUGAGGUUUAUUCCUAGGUAUCUUAUGCUUUUGGGUGCAAUUGUAAAUGGGAUUGACUCCUUAAUUUCUCUUUCUUCAGUCUCAUUGUUAGUGUAUAGAAAUGCCACUGACUUCUGGGCAUUGAUUUUGUAUCCUGCCAUGCUACCGAAUUGCUGUAUGAGUUCUAGCAAUCUUGGGGUGGAGACUUUUGGGUUUUCUAUGUAGAGUAUCAUGUCAUCGGCGAAGAGGGAGAGUUUGACUUCUUCUUUGCCAAUUUGAAUGCCUUUAAUGUCUUUUUGUUGUCUGAUUGCUGAGGCUAGGACUUCCAGUACUAUGUUGAACAGCAGUGGUGAGAGUGGACAUCCCUGUCUUGUUCCUGAUCUUAGGGGAAAAGGCUCCUAGUGCUUCCCCAUUGGAAUGAUAUUUGCUGUGGGCUUUUCAUAGAUGGCUUUUAAGAUGUCGAGGAAUGUUCCCUCUAUCCCUACACUCUGAAAUUUUGAUCAGGAAUGGAUGCGUAUUUUGUAAAAUGUUUUCUCUGCAUCCAAUGAGGGAUCAUAGGUUCUUGGUUUUUCUCUUGCUGAUAUGAUGAAUACAUUGAUUGUUUUACGGGUGUUGAACCACCCUUUGUGUCCCAGGGAUAAAUCCUACUUGGUCAGGUGAAUAAUUUUCUUAAUGUACUGUUGGAUCCUAUUGGCCAGUAUCUUGUUGAGAAUUUUUGCAUCCAUGUUCACAGAGAUUUUGGGUCUGUAAUUCCCCUUUUUGGGCGGGGUCUUUGUCGGGCUUUGGAAUUAAGGUAUGCGGGGCUUCAUAGAACGAAUUUGGAAGUACUCCAUCCUUUCUAUCUUUCCAAACAGUUUUAGGAGAAUAGGUAGGGUUUCUUCUUUAAACGUUUGAAAAAAUUUUCCCCUGGGAAGCCAUCUGGCCCUGGACUCUUGUGUCGGGGGGGGUUUUUUUGAUGACUGCUUCAAUUUCCUCCCGGUUAUUGGUCUGUUCAGGUUUCUAUUUCUUCCUGUUCCCCGUUUUGGUAGUUUGUGGCUUUCCAGGAAUGCGUCCAUUUUUUUUUCCAGAUUUCCUAAUUUAUUUGGGGUAUAGCUGUUCAUAAUAUGUUUUUAAAAACGUUUGUAUUUCCUUGGUGUUGGUAGUGAUCUCUCCUUUCUCAUUCAGGUUUUUUUAAUUUGAUCUUUUCUCUCUUUUUUUUUUAAUAAGGCUGGCUAAUGGUUUUUUAUCUUGUUAAUUCUUUCAAGAACCCAAAUCCUGGUUUGUUGAUCUGUUCCACAGUUUUUUCUGGUCUCGAUUUCGUUUAGUUUUGCUCGAAUCUUUAUUUAACUCCCUUCUUCUCUUGGGUGUAGGAUCUAUUUGCUGUUUUUUCUCUAGCUCCUUUUAGUGUAAGGUGAGCUUUUGUAUUUGAGUUCUUUCCUGUUUUUGAAUGGAUCUUGUAUUGCGAUUAUUUCCCCCUUUGGACUGCUUUUGCUGCAUCCCAAAGAUUUUGAACGGUUUUUUAUCUUCAUUCUCAUUAGUUUCCAUGAAUCUUUUUAAUUCUUCCUUAAUUUCCUGUUGACCCUUUUAUCUUUUUGCAGGGUGGUCUUAACCUCCACGUGUUUGAGGUCCUUCCAAACUUCUUGUUGUGAUUUAGUUCUAAUUUCAAGGCAUUAUGGUCUGAAAAAAUGCAGGGGACAAUCCCAAUCUUUUGGUAUCGGUUCAGACCCGAUUUGUGACCCAAUAUGUGGUCUAUUCUGGAGAAAGUUCCAUGUGCGCUUGAGAAGAAUGUGUAUUCAGUUGAGUUUGGAUGUAAAGUUCUGUAGAUAUCUGUGAAAUCCAUCUGGUCCAGUGUAUCAUUUAAAGCUCGCGUUUCUUUGGAGAUGUUGUGCUUAGAAGACCUAUCGAGUAUAGAAAGAGCUAGAUUGAAGUCACCAAGUAUAAGUGUAUUAUUAUCUAAGUAUUUCUUCACUUUGGUUAAUAAUUGAUUUAUAUAUUUGGCAGCUCCCACAUUCGGAGCAUAUAUAUUGAGGAUUUUUAAAGUCCUCUUGUUGAAUAGAUCCUUUAAGUAUGAUAUAGUGUCCCUCUUCAUCUCUCACUACAGUCUUUGGGGUAAAUUUUAGUUUAUCUGAUAUAAGGAUGGCUACCCCUGCUUUCUUUUGAGGACCAUUCGAAUGGUAAAUGGUUCUCCAACCUUUUAUUUUCAGGCUGUAGGUGUCCUUCUGUCUAAAAUGAGUCUCUUGUAGACAGCAAAUAGAUGGGUCCUGCUUUUUUAUCCAGUCUGAAACCCUGCGCCUUUUGAUGGGGUCAUUAAGCCCGUUCACAUUCAGAGUUACUAUUGAGAGAUAUGAGUUUA